UACGAAGGGGGCGAGCGUUGUUCGGAUUUACUGGGCGUAAAGGGCGCGCAGGCGGUUCUGUUUGUCGUGUGUGAAAGCCCCGGGCUCAACCUGGGAACUGCGCUCGAAACGGCGGAACUAGAGUUCGGGAGAGGAGAGUGGAAUUCCCAGUGUAGAGGUGAAAUGCGUAGAUAUCGGAAGGAACACCUGUGGCGAAAGCGGCUCACUGGACCAUAACUGACGCUGAGGCGCGAAAGCUAGGGGAGCAAACAGG
rnacentral:rRNA from 1 species